rnacentral:rRNA from 1 species
GUCUUUUUGUAAUUUAUAUAAAGUCUAACCUGCCCAUUGAACAAUUUAAAAGGCUGCGGUAUUAUGACCGUACAAAGGUAGCAUAAUCAUUAGUUUUUUAAUUGGAAACUGGAAUGAAUGGUUGAAUGAGAAAUUUACUUUUUUAAAUAAAAGAUUGAAUUUUACUUUUUAUUUAAAAGGAUAAAAUAAAUUUAAAAGACGAGAAGACCCUAUAGAGUUUCAUAAUUUGUAUUAAAUUUUUUAAAAAGUUAAAUAUAAAUUACUUAAUUUAAAUUAUUUUGUUGGGGUGAUAAUAAAAUUUAAUUAACUUUUAAAAAUUAAAAACAUUAAUAUAUGAAUAUAUGAUCCAAUAUUAUUGAUUAAAAAAUUAAAUUACCUUAGGGAUAACAGCGUAAUUUUUUUUUAAGUUCAUAUUAAUAAAAAAUUUUGCGACCUCGAUGUUGGAUUAAGAUUUAAUUUUAGGUGCAGCAGUUUAAAAUUUAAGUCUGUUCGACUUUUAAAUUCUU